rnacentral:rRNA from 1 species
UACGGGGGGGGCAAGCGUUGUUCGGAAUUACUGGGCGUAAAGGGCUCGUAGGCGGCCAACUAAGUCAGACGUGAAAUCCCUCGGCUUAACCGGGGAACUGCAGUCUGAUACUGGAUGGCUUGAAUCCGGGAGAGGGAUGCAGAAUUCCAGGUGUAGCGGUGAAAAUGCGUAGAUAUCUGGAGGAAUACCGGUGGCGAAGGCGGCAUCCUGGACCGGCAUUGACGCUGAGGAGCGAAAGCCAGGGGAGCAAACGGG